rnacentral:ncRNA from 2 species
CAUAACCUUCGGGGCAGGGUGAGGGCCGGAACGUCAGGCUCAAUUCCCGAUCGGCGGUAUAGCCCGCGAGCCGGAAAGCGCUUCACUCAAUCGCGCUGGAUGGCAUGAUCCCGGUGCAAUUCCGGAGCCGACCGUACAGUCGGGAUGAAAGAAGGUGCAG